rnacentral:rRNA from 1 species
GAUGAACGCUGGCGGCGUGCCUAAUACAUGCAAGUCGAGCGAACAGAUGAGGAGCUUGCUCCUCUGACGUUAGCGGCGGACGGGUGAGUAACACGUGGAUAACCUACCUAUAAGACUGGGAUAACUUCGGGAAACCGGAGCUAAUACCGGAUAAUAUAUUGAACCGCAUGGUUCAAUAGUGAAAGACGGUUUUGCUGUCACUUAUAGAUGGAUCCGCGCCGCAUUAGCUAGUUGGUAAGGUAACGGCUUACCAAGGCGACGAUGCGUAGCCGACCUGAGAGGGUGAUCGGCCACACUGGAACUGAGACACGGUCCAGACUCCUACGGGAGGCAGCAGUAGGGAAUAUUCCGCAAUGGGCGAAAGCCUGACGGAGCAACGCCGCGUGAGUGAUGAAGGUCUUCGGAUCGUAAAACUCUGUUAUUAGGGAAGAACAAAUGUGUAAGUAACUAUGCACGUCUUGACGGUACCUAAUCAGAAAGCCACGGCUAACUACGUG